rnacentral:rRNA from 1 species
GAUGAACGCUGGCGGCGUGCCUAAUACAUGCAAGUCGAGCGAACAGACGCGGAGCUUGCUCCUCUGACGUUAGCGGCGGACGGGUGAGUAACACGUGGAUAACCUCCCUAUAUGACUGGGAACACUUCGGGAAACCGGAGAAAAUCCCGGAUAAUAUAUUGAACCGCAUGGUUCAAUAGUGAAAGACGGCUUUGCUGUCUCUUCUCGAUGGAUCUGCGCCGCUUUAGCUGGUUGGUAAGGUAACGGCUUACCAAGGCGACGAUGCGUAGCCGACCUGCGAGGGUGAUCGGCGACACGAGAACUGAGACGCGGUCCAUACGCCUACGGGAGGCAGCAGUAGGGAAUCUGCCGCAAUGGGCGAAAGCCUGACGGAGCAACGCCGCGUGAGUGAUGAAGGUCUUCGGAGCGUAAUACUCUGUUAUGAGGUAAGAACAAAUGUGUAAGUAACUAUGCACGGCUUGACGGUACCUAAUCAGAAAGCCACGGCUAACUACGUG